ACUCAACAAGAUGGCAGAAUAGUGCCACAGGUUUAAACCCUGUUUAUGAGUAAACUCUCUUGUUA
rnacentral:tRNA from 1 species